rnacentral:tRNA from 1 species
AAAAAUUAAUUAAAAAUGAUUAAAAUCAAUUUCGACUUGAUUAAAGAUAAAAUUUAUCCAUUUUUA